CAUUGCCGCUCGCUGAGGCGACGUCGGCGGGGAGGGUGGUUUUACCCGCCAGGGCCGCACCUCUUGUCCAGACCCUUCUCACGUUUUAGAUCCGGUGGCCGGUAUCCUUUUAUCCGCCCAGCUGUGCUGUGCGGGCCCCACAGGGGAGGCGGGCUGGCAGGGGGUCGGUGCCUGCGAUGGGGACCGCGGCUGAGAGGAGGGAAAGGGGGUGCAGGCGGGAGCUGUAGAGAUCGCCUCAGGGCUGCCAAAUGUCCAGAGCUGACCAACUCCGGACAGUAGCCGUCACCACAGGGACACAUGCUCCAAGCCAGGUUUUUUUCAAAGAGAUGCCAAGAGACAAAAAGAGAACCCACAUUCACAACCAGAACACUAAUCAUUGAGCACCAUUAAGGGACUUAAAAUAAAGAGCUUGAAAGCUUGCCAAUAAAUUCUCUAAACUAAAACCAGCAUACUUUGUUCAGAAAGGAAGAGAGAGCACACUGGAAAACUCCUCUGUGAAAACAGACAGAAAGAAACAUCAACAGGAGAGAAGUGGCGACAAUGCGAAAUGACUUAAUCCCAUUGGACUCUGUGUGGAGGCUGAGCCCAGAAGAGGUGACGGAACAGGUGACGGUGACUUUGAUGGUGGAUGUGACUGAGGGACAAAUACCAAGUCUUCACGCACAGAAUCGUCUGCGUAUUUGCACAACUGAAGAUGAAAAGAAUUUUUUUGCACUGUAUGGUCAUCCUGGUUUUCAUAAGCAGAGUUCACUGCCAUAGAGAAAUGUGAAGUAGUUCAGAAAGAGCCAAAAAAUACCCCAUGCAGACAAGUAUGAAAAACUAACAUACAGAACUAUAACAACUGAAAACUUCCAAAAUAUUAAUCCUCAUUUUGAAAGAUAUUAACUGAUAUUUCGUGAUCAGAAAGUGUAUCAGGGAGCACCAUAUGAAUAGUAGCCUGCUUAGCUUCUGGUUGAAGGCAAAGCUUAAACACCUUGCUGCAAAAAAUUACAGCCUGCAGAGAUGGGCAGUAUGUCUUGGCAUAGUGCACCUUGGCAUCACAUUAUUCCUUUAUGU